rnacentral:misc_RNA from 1 species
UUGGUGGACGUCCUGGUACUGUAGAGAUAGCCAGGAUACCAAAAUCCUGCUCUUAUAUUGUUAGAUAUUAGACAAGCACAUUAAAAAUAAUGAAUCAACCAAGUAUGACACAGAUGUUCUGCCUACAUUUUACUUAGCAGGUUUAUAGAUUUUUAUAUUUGACAACGGUGAGCCCAUACGACACUGAUACUACACAACUAAAACCUUAUUAAUCCCAUUCUGAAUUGAAAUUGGUUCGAGCAAAGUUCACGUUAGCAUAUAUAUAUAUAUGUCAAUCCGCAAAUAAAAACUAUUUUCUUCUUUGCACAAGUGUUAUGCUUCAAGUGUCUUAACUGCCUAAGCCCUUAUAGGCAGAUUUUCUUUAUCAUAUCAAAAGCAAUGCAAAAUCCAGCUAUAGAAGAUUAAUCAGCUAAGCCCUUAUAUGUCAUCACUUCACAUGCUCAUUUACUGAAGUACAUUGCAUGCAGAAUCUUAGCACAACAAAUAAUAAAAGAACUAAAAACAAGGGCGCAACCUGAUUUUAGUUCAUGACAUUUGUUUAAUUACAAGUAAGACAAUAGCUAACAAAUGAAAGAACUUUAAGGUCUCAUGAAAUUUUUACUCUACUCACUGCUCUUAUUCCAUUUAUCUGAGAAAUGGUUCACAAUUAAAAAAUAAAUAAAUGAACCCUCUGCCUCUGAGUAUUUAAGAACAACACUUGUUUACCAAUGAACUUUAGCUUAGUAGCAAUGGUGCCUGCACUUAUGAGAUCUAGAGUUCCAAAAGGUUGGAAGAAAAUCAAUAAAAAUAAAAAUUGAAAUUAAAAAAGAGCCGGACCUGUUUCACAUUCUCACCUAUAUGCCAUUUCAUCCAUGACA